rnacentral:lncRNA from 1 species
UUUUUUCUAUCCAUAUUAAUUUUUCUUUUAGGUCUUUCAUUAUUUUCCUAAUUCGGUUUCUAUAAUUAAUUUCAUUAUUUAGAUUUUCUUGAUUUUCUCUAGUUUGUCUAAUAUAUUCUAACAUUUUUUAAUUUGAAUAAUAUCCUUCUGGGUAAAUUUCUUCGUAUAACUGUUCUAGACAAUUUAUAGUUUCAAUUUCGUAGUCUAUUACUUUAUCUAAUAUUAUUUUCUUAAUAUCUAUAAUUUCUAUGUUUUUAAGUAUAUAU